AACUGCACUGAAGUGUCUCCAUUUUCAUUGUUGUUUUUUGGAGGAGAUAUUUCCAUCCAGAGGGACCAGGACCAAGAGACAGUCACAGUGGACGUGUGGAUCAUGUUUCAGUCCCCAGCACACAUUGCUCACCUUGUCAAGGACCUAAGGGAGGAGCUGGACGUGUUACUGGAGGAGAAGAUAAAAAGUCCCCAUCCUGUGGUCUGGAAUGACCGGGGGUCUAAAGAUUGUGCUGUUCUCUCCGCUAUAAUCGACCUCGUCACAACAGAGGAAACCCCUGCCGGAGACCGCCAAUGAGCACCAACCAAAAAGUGCUUAUUUAUUUGAAAGACAUUCAACUGUGAUGUACAGAAAAGUGAUCUGCUGUCACAGCUGUGUGAACACACUGAUACUCUUUCUCUGUACUUCUAGGUGUUUGAGUAAAUACCUACAGCAUUAGAAAUAAGAAACCGAUUUUUGGGAAAUUUUUUUUUAUUUUAGCAUUGGCUUGAGUUAUUAUAAGCUUUUCUUUACAGUAAUUAAUUAAAUUUGCCAUGAUGCAAUCAA